AGUUUGAUCAUGGCUCAGGAUAAACGCUGGCGGCGUGCCUUAUGCAUGCAAGUCGAACGCACCGCAAGGUGAGUGGCGAACGGGUGAGUAACACGUAGGAACCUGCCUGGAAGUGGGGGAUAACUCCUCGAAAGAGGGGCUAAUACCGCAUACGGUCUUCGGACCAAAGCUUCGGCGCUUUCAGAGGGGCCUGCGGCGGAUUAGCUUGUUGGUGGGGUAACGGCCUACCAAGGCGACGAUCCGUAGCUGGUCUGAGAGGAUGGUCAGCCACACUGGGACUGAGAUACGGCCCAGACUCCUACGGGAGGCAGCAGCAAGGAAUUUUGCGCAAUGGGCGAAAGCCUGACGCAGCAACGCCGCGUGGGGGAUGAAGGCCUUCGGGUUGUAAACCCCUUUUGCGAGGGAAGAAGAUCUGACGGUACCUCGCGAAUAAGCCACGGCUAACUACGUGCCAGCAGCCGCGGUAAUACGUAGGUGGCAAGCGUUGUCCGGAUUUACUGGGCGUAAAGCGCGCGCAGGCGGAUUGGUCAGUCUGGGGUGAAAUCUCACGGCUCAACUGUGAGCGGUCCCUGGAUACUGCCAGUCUUGAGGGGUCUAGAGGAGAGCGGAAUUCCCGGUGUAGUGGUGGAAUGCGUAGAUAUCGGGAAGAACACCAGUGGCGAAAGCGGCUCUCUGGGGAUCACCUGACGCUGAGGCGCGAAAGCGUGGGGAGCGAACCGGAUUAGAUACCCGGGUAGUCCACGCCGUAAACGAUGAGUACUAGCUGUCGGGGGGUAUCGUGGGGGGGGGUGGGGGUGAGGGGUUAAGUACUCCCAUCAUGGGGACUACGGCCGCAAGGCUAAAACUCAAAUGAAUUGACGG
rnacentral:rRNA from 1 species